rnacentral:rRNA from 1 species
AAGUAGAACGCUGAGGACUGGUGCUUGCACCGGCUCCAAGGAGUUGCGAACGGGUGAGUAACGCGAUAGGUAACCUACCUCAUAGCGGGGGAUAACUAUUGGAAACGAUAGCUAAUACCGCAUAAAAGUGUUUAACCCAUGUUAAACAUUUAAAAGGUGCAACUGCAUCACUAUGAGAUGGACCUGCGUUGUAUUAGCUAGUUGGUGAGGUAACGGCUCACCAAGGCGACGAUACAUAGCCGACCUGAGAGGGUGAUCGGCCACACUGGGACUGAGACACGGCCCAGACUCCUACGGGAGGCAGCAGUAGGGAAUCUUCGGCAAUGGACGGAAGUCUGACCGAGCAACGCCGCGUGAGUGAAGAAGGUUUUCGGAUCGUAAAGCUCUGUUGUUAGAGAAGAAUGAUGGUGGGAGUGGAAAAUCCACCAUGUGACGGUAACUAACCAGAAAGGGACGGCUAACUACGUGCCAGCAGCCGCGGUAAUACGUAGGUCCCGAGCGUUGUCCGGAUUUAUUGGGCGUAAAGCGAG